rnacentral:lncRNA from 1 species
GCUCACUGGUGAUGUUAUUAUAAAUUUCAAAUACCACCCCCAUUGUUUCGCACAUUUUUACUUUAGUAUCUUGUAAUUUAAAAUGUAUUAAAUUGAUGUUCUAUGGUUUCACUUUCAUUUUUUUAUCAGCUUUUUCGUUAAUAUUUCAUUAAAUUAUAUACAGAAAACUUCAGAUAUCACAUCUAGGUUUAUCUAAUAUUCACUUUAGUACCCUUUAGUUUUAACUUUGUCACUAAUUUAAUAAAAAAAAAUUAGUAAAAUUAAUAAUAAAAAGAUAAAAAUGAAACCACAUGGUAUUAAAUUGAUAUAUUUUAAAUCACAAAAUACUAAAGUGAGAAAGUAUGAAACCAGAGGGAUGGUAUUUAAAGUUUUUCUUAUAUUUAAUGGACUGUGUGUAUAGAUCGUGGGCCAUGGAGAAAUAAUGCCCAUGAUUCUCUUCUUUGCUAAGUGGAUUUUAUGAGGAUAAUCUCAAUCUCCGCAAGAUUAUUUGAUCUGAUUAGAUUUAAUAUUUUCGAGAUUUUCCCAAUUUCAGAUGCUUCCGAGUUCAUAAACACCUCAAAACACGGAAUGCAAGUAUGACAAGACAUUUUUAGAUACACGUACAUGUGAAUUGUAAGCACAAACCUACUAUUCUAAAAAUACGUACAGAUAGAAAGGACGCAUCCAUCACAUUUAAAAACUUAAUUGUAGCGCUCACAGACUUGAACCUGACUCAAUUCAUUCAAACGUUAGGUCUAUUGUUGGACCUCUUAUCGUUAGAUUUAUUGUGAAUCGUAAUUCCAUUCAACCUAUUGAGUUCACCCAACUCAACUUAUUAUAGUCUUUUGUACCUGUUAACACGGGAUAAAAAAUUAAAUUUAUUUUAGCUAAAAUUUAAGAGCCAAUAAUAUAGAGAUUCGAAAUUCUGAAUUUUUUUUUUUUUUUUUUUUUUGAAAAAAGCAGUAGAUAUAUAAAAAAAAUGUUUGAUAAGAUUAUUAGACUAAUU